CCUACGGGUGGCUGCAGUGAGGAAUAUUGCGCAAUGGACGGAAGUCUGACGCAGCAACGCCGCGUGUGGGAAGACGGAGCUACGCUUUGUAAACCACUGUAGCAUGGGAAGAAAAGCAUCUUAUGGGUGUGGGACUGUACCAUGAAAGUAAGCAUCGGCUAACUACGUGCCAGCAGCCGCGGUAAUACGUAGGAUGCAAGCGUUGUCCGGAUUUACUGGGUGUAAAGGGUGCGCAGGCGGGAUGGUAAGUCAGAGGUGAAAGAUUGCAGCUUAAC
rnacentral:rRNA from 1 species